CUGGCAGUGGGCAGGCCCGCGCGAGUGCGGAUCUGGGGGCGUCUUCAGGAAGCAGAGUGCCUAUUGGGGCGCUGAGGAUUCCGCAUAGGAAAGGCUCCAAACGACGCAACUCCGAGGCGCCUGUUUCUAUAGGGUGCCCUCUGCCUUCAGCCAAGCCUCCUUCCCACCCACCCCCACACCGCAACCCAGCACCCGAGUGAGGGGCAGGUCGGCGGGCUUGGGAACUGGCUGCGAGGUGGCCGUCCUGGUGUCCCCGCCUCCAGGGGUGCCGCGCGCGUCCUCUGCUCGCCCAUCCCUCCGCGCCCUCCCCGGCCGAGCCCGCGAGGGUCGGGAGUGCCCGAUUGCGCUCUGGCGGCAGCGCCGAGUCGCGUGACGCGAGGGGACGCGCGCGCUCUGGACGCUUCCGAGCUGACCGCGGGGAGCAGCCUCCCGCGCCCACAGCGCAGUCCGCGUGAGCGGCCCUUCCCUCGGGUAGGAUUUCCCCUCACUUAGGCUAUUCCUCUUUCCCGGAAGACGCUCUUCUUUCCCAGAAGGCUGGGUUAUGGUGAUCAAGGUCCCUGGAUCCAGAAGGCCCGUGCCGCGUGGGUUGGGAUUUGAAUGGUUGAUUUAGCAGCGGUUGCCUGAACCAGCUCUGAGAAUACAGUCUCCCAUCUGAACGUCUUGUUUCCUGGUUUUAGCCAAACGCUAAUUGAAAGGAUGUCGAAAUAAAAAAAUUAGGUCUGUAACUGAACAGGUCAGGACAUUGCCUGGGAUAGCAUCCGGUGCCUGGACAUCAUAAUUUUUCUGGGAGCAUGCAGGCUACAAGGGGGAAGCUUUUGGUUUUGUUUGGCUUUGAGGCAUCUGAGAUUACCUGAAAUCCCCAACGCUUUUAGGGAGCCCUGGAGACCCUGAUGGCUGUACAGCUACACACUUAGCAUUAUCGUGUCAGUCAGGACAAGUUAGGUUAUGUUGUGGUAAUAAACAAGGCUGGAAUCUCAGUGUCUUUAGAUAACAGAGAUGCUUCCUUGCUCACAUUGCAUGUCCUGUGCAGGGUGACAGGGGCACUGUGCUCAUUAGAGUCACUCAGGGACCAGGCUGGUGGCGAAGCCGUCCUAUCUAACUCGACCAGUCACUGUGCCAGAGGGAGAUGGAGAAAGCAGGAGAACUCACAUUAGCAUUUCAAAGCCUUGCCACCUCACUCAGUAUCCUGGCCAGGGACAGUUACACGGCUGUGCCCUACCUCAGGGGGAGCAUGGGGUACAGUCCCAGCUUGCCAUCAGAAUAGGGGAAGAGCUGGAAACCAAAGGCCAGUGCAGUCCUCAAGGGCAUGGAGAAGUCACUCACUUAGCAAGCAGUGCCAGUGUGGGCGGUACAGGUGCGGCACAGAAAUGCACGUGUCCGUGAAGCUCAUAUUUUAGUGGGACAGCCACAUGACAAACAGGCAUCAUACGCACAUUGGGCCAUAAGUAAUUUGAUGACACAUAAAGCGCAUGAGAGGGAUAGAAAGUAACAAGGGCUCCUUACAGUCUUCUGCAUGGACAGGAAAGGCCUUUGUGAGGGGCCGACAUUUAGCCCAGAGUGAACGGAGUAGGCCCUUUGUCGGAACAAGAGCAUCCCCAGCUGAGGGCGCACGGGACCCUGCAGCCCCCAGUUUCCCAAACGCAGUGCACAUGCGUUUGCUCUGAUCAUGGCUUCCCAGGCCUGCUGUCUAAUGUAUCCUGUGAGACUGUGAGCAGGAACAAUGACAAAUGCUGUUGGGAAUUUAAAUGUGCCUAUAAAAAAAUAAAAAAAUAAAUAAAAUAAAAUAAAAUAUGCCUAGGGGCUGGGGA